UUUCAGGUGCCUUUUAUUAGGCUGAAUAGGGAAGAUCGGUGGAUUUUCAAACUGGGUAUUGUGGAGUUUUAACUCUCUACAGCUACCAAAGUGAUCAUCAUUCCGACGCUGCCCCCGCAACGGUAAUUAAGUAAAGCUUGGUCAAUAACCACUGUAUCAACACGAUAUGGGAAGGUGAUCAAGUCGGCGUAAGCCACUUAUAAGCCCGGAGACCUGCCCGAAAGUU
rnacentral:ncRNA from 1 species